UCAGGUUUUUUGGGGCCUGGACAAGAAAUUGGCACAAAGAAAGCAUUUUCCUUCUGUAAAUUGGCUGAUUUCCUACUCAAAGUACUCAGGGGCACUGGAGUCCUUUUAUGAAAAGUUUGAUCCUGAUUUCAUUAACAUAA